AAUAGCCAUGGACUUCAUCUCAUCUUAAGCAGUAAUACAUUUAUGCAGUUGGAUCUCCUCAUGCGUACUUCCAAUCACAUCUCCCUUCACAUGGGUCACUUUGUAGCCAAUCAGAUCCUCUCUUCCUUGCCCGGCUCCUGAAGCCUGGCCUGUUGGUCCCGCCGAGGCUGCCAGUGGCACCCCAAGGCACUCUGGGCAGAGGUUCCACUGCUCGCAGCCCAGCAGGCAAACGCUAGAACUCGCUAGCUCCUUUAUCGUUUCAAGAUGCGAAUGAAGCGUCCUCCUGUGGGGCUUGGGAGAUGGCUUCCAUGGCAACUGCCACAGAGGUGACAGGUCCGAGAAGCGUGGGAGAAUUCGCUUCCUGAGGUUAAACCAAGGACAGCUAGAAGACCGGAGGAAGUGAAAGAUCCAUCUCCCCUCCCCCGCCCUCGGAGCGCUUGUUCCGAGGAUGGUUCUUUGUACUGCCUGUGCUGUUAACAUGCUGACUUGUUUUUCUAUCCCAUCCUUUCCUGUCUUCAGUUUGUCUUUCUUCCCCUUUGGCACCUUGAAUUUGCGUAUCACCAAAAUUGUUAGCAUGCAAUCUCUGUAUGGGGUUCUCUUUUCUAGGAGACAUGACUGACUUACGAUGUUCAUCAUUCAGAGGUAACUGAUGGAUUUGAGAUUUUCUUUUCCUAUUUGAUUCAUCUUAAAUUGGCUUCUGCAGAGGAUGUGAGGAUUUGGAUUUUCUAAUGCAGGGAGACCAGUAUUGAGUAAGAUCUGUGCCUAUGGAAGUAUAUGCUAGUGGAAUCACAUGAUCCUAGGGUUGGAAGUUGCCUUGCUGGUGCAUGAUCAUCUACCUCAAUCCAAAGGAUUUGAGCAUUACUCUCCAACUACAAAAGACCUCCGAACUGAGAAGGAAUGAAUCUCUGACCCAUUUGUGAAUAAGCCAGGUGAACUGACUUUGUGCUAGAGAGGAUCAACUGGUUGAGAGUGCAAAUGAUGAUGGCCUUAAAAGUGUGAGACCGAGGGCCUUAUCAAACGCUCCGAGGAGCUGACUGCAGCGACGAUCACCCGGGAAGGAACACACCGGACAAGUUGGAAAGUAAAACAGACCUUUAUUAGUCUGGCCAGACGGCACUCCCAAAGCAAAGUAGCUAAGAGAGGCAACUGGCUCAGAGUCCGAGGCUGUUUUAUAGGGGGUUGAGGGGGAGGUUAACAUAUAGAAUUAAAGAAAAGAGGACAAAGGUUAGUGGUCGACUGUCACGUAUUGGUGGUCAGCAGACAUUUGCAGCUUGUUCUAUAGAUUGUGGUGUCCGGAACAUCAGUUCCAGGCAAACAAGGAGUUGAGUAGUUUACUUUGGGACUUUAGGUCUGUUACAGAUUUUAUCUAGUGUCCCAAAACUAACAAGCAUCUUUAUCCAUUAACUCACAUUUAAUCACAAUGGGGCUGGAGAAAAGGAACAAAGGUUAUGCAGUCCCACAAAAGUAUGUCUGAGACAACUUGAGAUCUCCAUACAUUCUGGAUUAAGGUGAAGGCAGAGUAUCCUGAGAUUACCACAAAAGCACUGAAAGAGGGCUGCUUUCAUUUCUAACAUUCUGUCUUUGUGGUGCAGGGUUUUCCACAGUGACGGCAGCCAAAACGAGAUUAUGGAUCAGUCUAAACAUAAGCAGCACACUUCGGGUGUCACUGUCCUUCAUCACCCUCAGAUGGGAUCAUUGAGUAGCAGGAAAUCAAGCUCGAGACUCCCACUGAUUCUGCAUUGUGUGAGGUGUGCAGUUAUUUCAUAAUCUAUUACAACAUAAUAAAAAUACAAAUAAAGCCUACAAUAAAUAUAAUGUACUUGAAUCAUUCUCCAUUAAUGGAAAAGUUGUCUUCCAUGAAACCAGUCCCUGGUGCCAAAAAAUUUGAAGAUUUCUGGCCUAAAAUAUAAUCUACCCUGGAGAAUGUUCCAUGUGCACUUGAGAAAAAUGCUGGGGAGAAUGUUGCAUGUGUGUAUGUCUGACUAUUAUGUCCAUUUAAUCUAUAGCAUUCACGUCUACUGUCUGUUGAUUUUCUGUCUGGAUAGUCUAUCCAUUGUUGAAAGUGGUUAUAAUGAAGGUUACUAUUACUGUAUUCCUAUUUCUCAUUCAGUUCUGCUCCUAUUUGCAGUAUAUAUUCAGCAGUUCUGAUGUUAGAUGCAUAGAUAUUUACAGCUGCUAUAUCCUGUCAAGGAACUGAUCCCUGUGUCAGUACCUAAGAACUUUCUUUUCCUCUUGCGACAGUGUUUGGCAAAAGGCUAUUUAAUCUGACAUAAGUAUAGCCACCUCUGCUUUCUUCAGGUUACAUUUGCAUGAAAUAUCUUUUUCAUCUCUUCACUUUAUACUACUUGUGUCUUUAAUGCUAAAGUGAGUCCCUUUGGGGCAGAGUAUAGUUGAGUGUUUUUAAAAAAUAUAUUGUACGUUGUAUUUUAAAAUGCACUUAAAAUACAUUAUAAAAUACCAGAAUUCAUUCUGUUUCUUUUGAUCAAAGGUUUUAAUAAAGUUAUAUUUAAAAUAAUUAUUGACAUGUAAGAAUUUACUACUGUAAUUUUGUUAACUAUGUUUUUACUAUUUUGUAGUGUCUUUGUUCCCCAGUUUCUGUAUUGUUCUUCAUUCUUUUGUGAUUUGAAUACUUUUUGUAGUUCUACAAUUUGAUUUCUUUAUCAUUGUUUGAAGUAUCUGCUACAAGGUUUUUUCUUUGUGCUUACAAUGAAGCUUACGUAAAGCAUCUUAAAACAGGCAAUUUUAAGCUGAUAAGUUUAAUUACAUACAGAAACUACACAUUAACUUCUUUUGCUCAACAUUUUAUGUUCUUGUUGUCACAAAUACUUGUGUAUCCAUUAACAAAUUAUUACAGUUAUUUUUAGUACUUUUGUGUUUUAACUUUGUACUGGCGUUAAAAGCGAUAUUUACACAAUUGUGGUAGUAUUAGAAAAUAAAUUAGAAUUUAUUUAUAUUUUAACCUUUCCAGUGGGUUUUAUAUUUUCAUGUAUCUUCUUGUUAGUUUUUAUUGUUUCAUUUCCACAGGAAGAACUCUCAUAACAUUUCUUAUAAGGCAGUUCUAGUGGUAUGACCCCCUUCCACUUUUGUGUGCCCCAGCCAAUCUUUAUCGCCUUCAUUUCUUUUUUUUUUUUUUUUCCAGUACCAGGGAUCAAACUCAGGACUUUGCACUUUUGAGGCAGGUUCGGUGCCACUGAGCUAAAUUCCUGGCCCUCGCCAGCAUUUCUGAUAGACAACUUGCCAAGUAUAAUAAUCUUGGCUGGCAGUUUGUUCCCCCAGCACGUGAAUAUGUCAUCCCAUGAGCUGCCAGUGUCAUGGUACAUUUUCUUCGCUCUUUCUGAAACUUUCUAUCUCCAGAAAUCUACACUCCCUCACUUUUUCCAGAACUCAGAUAUCACCUCAUCAGAGCUGUCCUGAACUGCCCAGUCUAAAAUAGCUCCCUGGACCCAUCAGCCUCUGUCCCCUGGAAUCAGUCCCAUGAUAACGUUGCUGGAUUUGCAGCAUAAAGUAACUUCACAGGAGCAGGAGCACAUGAGUGAAUCUCCCCCCACCCCCGUUCCCCUGAGGGAGAGAGCGUCUCCCUGAAGGCAGAACCAGUGCCACCCGCUUCUCUUGUUACAGCUGUCACCACCCAGAGCUCCAUAAACAGCCAGAACAGUGAGC
rnacentral:lncRNA from 1 species